GAUGAACGCUGGCGGCGUGCCUAAUACAUGCAAGUCGAGCGAACGGACGAGAAGCUUGCUUCUCUGAUGUUAGCGGCGGACGGGUGAGUAACACGUGGAUAACCUACCUAUAAGACUGGGAUAACUUCGGGAAACCGGAGCUAAUACCGGAUGAUAUUUUGAACCGCAUGGUUCAAAAGUGAAAGACGGUCUUGCUGUCACUUAUAGAUGGAUCCGCGCUGCAUUAGCUAGUUGGUAAGGUAACGGCUUACCAAGGCAACGAUGCAUAGCCGACCUGAGAGGGUGAUCGGCCACCCUGGACCUGAGACACGGUCCAGACUCCUACGGGAGGCAGCAGUAGGGAAUCUUCCGCAAUGGGCGAAAGCCUGACGGAGCAACGCCGCGUGAGUGAUGAAGGUCUUCGGAUCGUAAAACUCUGUUAUUAGGGAAGAACAUAUGUGUAAGUAACUGUGCACAUCUUGACGGUACCUAAUCAGAAAGCCACGGCUAACUACGU
rnacentral:rRNA from 1 species